rnacentral:rRNA from 1 species
UGGGGAAUAUUGCACAAUGGGCGCAAGCCUGAUGCAGCGACGCCGCGUGCGGGAUGGAGGCCUUCGGUUGUAACCGCUUUUGUUCAAGGGCAAGGCAGGCUUUCGGGCCUGUUGAGUGGAUUGUUCGAAUAAGCACCGGCUAACUACGUGCC